CCUACGGGAGGCAGCAGUGAGGAAUAUUGGUCAAUGGACGAGAGUCUGACCCAGCCAAGUAGCGUGAAGGAUGACUGCCCUAUGGGUUGUAAACUUCUUUUAUAAAGGAAUAAAACGAGGCACGUGUGCCUUUUUGCAUGUACUUUAUGAAUAAGGCUCGGCUAACUCCGUGCCAGCAGCCGCGGUAAUACGGAGGAUCCGAGCGUUAUCCGGAUUUAUUGGGUUUAAAGGGAGCGUAGAUGGGUUGUUAAGUCAGUUGUGAAAGUUUGCGGCUCAACCGUAAAAUUGCAAUUGAUACUGGCAGUCUUGAGGACAGUUGAGGUAGGCGGAAUUCGUGGUGUAGCGGUGAAAUGCUUAGAUAUCACGAAGAACUCCGAUUGCGAAGGCAGCUUACUAAACUGCCACUGACAUUGAUGCUCGAAAGUGUGGGUAUCAAACAGGAUUAGAUACCCCUGUAGUC
rnacentral:rRNA from 1 species